rnacentral:rRNA from 1 species
AAUUGCUAGUAAUCGCGGAUCAGCAUGCCGCGGUGAAUACGUUCCCGGGCCUUGUACACACCGCCCGUCACACCAUGAGAGUCGGGAACACCCGAAGUCCGUAGUCUAACCGCAAGGAGGGCGCGGCCGAAGGUGGGUUCGAUAAUUGGGGUGAAGUCGUAACAAGGUAAC